GACAGAGGGGGCAAGCGUUGCUCGGAAUUACUGGGCGUAAAGGGCGCGUAGGCGGCCUUCUAAGUCGAACGUGAAAUCCCCGGGCUCAACCCGGGAACUGCGUCCGAGACUGAAAGGCUCGAAUCCGGGAGAGGGAUGUGGAAUUCCAGGUGUAGCGGUGAAAUGCGUAGAUAUCUGGAGGAACAUCGGUGGCGAAGGCGGCAUCCUGGACCGGUAUUGACGCUGAGGCGACGAA
rnacentral:rRNA from 1 species